rnacentral:rRNA from 1 species
GACGAACGCUGGCGGCGUGCUUAACACAUGCAAGUCGAGCGGUAAGGCCCUUUCGGGGGUACACGAGCGGCGAACGGGUGAGUAACACGUGGGUGACCUGCCCUUAGCUCUGGGAUAAGCCUGGGAAACUGGGUCUAAUACCGGAUAUGACUCCAUGACGCAUGUUGUGGGGUGGAAAGCCUUGUGCGGCUAGGGAUGGGCCCGCGGCCUAUCAGCUUGUUGGUGGGGUGANGGCCUACCAAGGCGACGACGGGUAGCCGGCCUGAGAGGGCGACCGGCCACACUGGGGCUGAGACACGGCCCAGACUCCUACGGGAGGCAGCAGUGGGGAAUCUUGCGCAAUGGGCGAAAGCCUGACGCAGCGACGCCGCGU